rnacentral:rRNA from 1 species
UACAUGGGGUGCAAACGUUUGCUCGGAAUCAUUGGGCGUAAAGCGCGCGUAGGCGGUUACUUAUGUCGGAUGUGAAAGCCCUCGGCUUAACUGAGGAAGUGCAUUCGAAACUGGGUAGCUAGAGUACUAAAGAGGGUCGCGGAAUUCCCGGUGUAGAGGUGAAAUUCGUAGAUAUCGGGAGGAACACCGGUGGCGAAGGCGGCAUCCUGGACCGACAUUGACGCUGAGGAGCGAAAAGCUAGGGGAGCAAACGGGG